GAUGAACGCUGGCGACGUGCCUAAUACAUGCAAGUCGAGCGAACGGACGAGAAGCUUGCUUCUCUGAUGUUAGCGGCGGGCGGGUGAGUAACACGUGGAUAACCUACCUAUAAGACUGGGAUAACUUCGGGAAACCGGAGCUAAUACCGGAUAAUAUUUUGAACCGCAUGGUUCAAAAGUGAAAGACGGUCUUGCUGUCACUUAUAGAUGGAUCCGCGCUGCAUUAGCUAGUUGGUAAGGUAACGGCUUACCAAGGCAACGAUGCAUAGCCGACCUGAGAGGGUGAUCGGCCACACUGGAACUGAGACACGGUCCAGACUCCUACGGGAGGCAGCAGUAGGGAAUCUUCCGCAAUGGGCGAAAGCCUGACGGAGCAACGCCGCGUGAGUGAUGAAGGUCUUUGGAUCGUAAAACUCUGUUAUUAGGGAAGAACAUAUGUGUAAGUAACUGUGCACAUCUUGACGGUACCUAAUCAGAAAGCCACGGCUAACUACGUG
rnacentral:rRNA from 1 species